AAGAAAUGAAGGAGAAAAAAAAGGUGUGGCUUUGAAAGAGGGUGUGUCAACCUCUAUUUAAACACUGUGUGUCAGUGCUCUCCUCUCAAAACCCUCUUCCACUCUCUACCUGCACAAGCUGUUAUACCAUUUUGCCAUCAUGUCAAAACUCCUUACAGCAAUUUGCCUCAUUAAGGAAACCUUUGAUAAAUAUGCUAAAGGAGAAGGAGACGAGUCGACUUUGACCAAGGGAGAACUUACACAGUUGAUCAAAAAGGAGCUUCUCGGUGACACCGCACCCACCAAUGAAGUUGAGGAGUUCUUCUGCAAGUUGGAUCAAGAUGGUGAUGGUGUUGUUAAUUACAUGGAGUAUGUAACUUUUGUAGCAUCCUUCUGUAUGAUGCUUCAAGGAAUGAAAUGUUAGCCACGUUGAGUAAGAACUUCUUUGGGUAUUUUAAUUUGUUCUAAAUGAAAACAAACUGUAAUAUCCAAUUUGCACUGUAGGCUAUAACAGUCAUGUCAUCUUCAGAUGUUCUGAGAAGGACAACUUGAUCCAACACACAAAGAUCAAUUUUUUGGGUUAUUAUGUUGGCUUGGAGGAUAAUUCAACUGUGAUGACUUUGAGUGCAAAAUCACUGAUGUUCAAAUGCAAUCGGUGAACAAUAAAGAAAAUAAAUGAAUGCUGUCA